CGCCCCGCUGGUGCCUGACGCCCGGAUGGCGCUCGUGGACGUUUGCAGAACAGACUUGAAGUCAAGUCCCCGCGGCGCCCGCUGUUCAUUCAUUCGGCAUUGCUGAGCAUCUGCUGGGCACCAGGACUGCAACCCGUGCUGGGGACACCUACCGCCCAGGCCUGUCCCCGCCUCAGGACGCUCUCGGGGCGGCUCUUGACCUCCAGGGACCCCAGCCCCGCCCGCGGCAGCGCUCACCUGCUGGGCUGCAGGUCCGACCCUGGGCGCCUGCUGGUGCAGAACGCGGCGCCCGGGACCCGGAGAGCCAGGCUGGACGUGGCCGUGCACGGUGAUGAGACCACUGACAAACACGUGGUACGAGCGAGAUCCCUGCUGGAAGUUCAGAGCUCCCUGACCAGCGCAAGAGUGUCCUUCUACCAAAGGACAGGCGUGUGCAAGAUGGUUAUAGAAGUGUUAGAUUCUUUGUCCGGUAACUUCUCAUGAUGGAAUAUCCAUGAAAUACAAUAAUAAGGUAAUAACAGCUGCUAAUAUUUAUUAAGUACUAGCUGCAUGGCAAACAGUUUGCUAAAUGCUUAAAUGUUUACCUCAUUUAAUCUCAAUUAAUUAAUUAGAACAGUAACUAAAAGUAUCUCAAUUGAUAAAAAAAAGUCCGGUGAGAUAAAUAGUAUUACUAACCUCAUUCAAAAACUGGAAUUUAAAGAGAUUAAGGAGCUGUUCUUAAAAACUCCAAAAGAGAGAGCAUAACAAGGCAUGAUUACUUACCUAUAAAAAUAAACACUUAUUUAUAAAAAAAUAAAGAUGUUUUAAUAGCGCGGGACUUGUCAACAUUCAUUGCCAGUUGGAAUUCAGGAUUUUAGGGGACAACGAAAUAAAUGAUGCUGUUUAGUGGCCGGGGUUAGGAUGGCAGUGAAAAGAGCUCAGAUGUUGAAUGCGGCAGACCUUGGUUUGCGCCUCAGCUUUACUCUGAUGUGAGGCGGCUUAUUUCGUGCCUUUGAGCCUCUGUUCCCAUGUCAGUUACGCGGAGGACUAGAACAAGCCUGCGUUACGGUGCCGAAGUGAAGGUCAGAGAAACAUAUGGGAAGUGCCUGCCACAGGGACCGCAUGUCCCAAGUUACGGUUUUCCUAAUUUUUGCUAUAAAUGUCUAAACCUGAGAACAAUGAUAUUCAUUUUUUGGAUACUGUGGGUGAAAAAGACCCUCGUGCUUCGGUGACGGUAGCUGAAUAUAAGAAGAUGGCACCGUCACGUUUAUAUACCUGAAUGGCCUAACAGUCCUCGAUCCACAGUUGACAUACAAGGCUGAUUAUUUACCUUUCAGGAUUAUUGGGACGGUUUCCCUUGAGGAACCGAAAAUUGAGAUCAUGCAUUUUGUACUUGGUUGACAUCUUCCGAGUGCCUUUGGUGCUUGGGUGUGAUGAUGAAGGGUAGAGAAAUGAGGCUCCCUCUCUUCUUUCCAAGUUAUCGGUACUUAGGUUUGUUUGUAUAAUACAUUACUUCUUGCUUAGAUUCCUUUAAUAACCUCCAAGUUUGUCUCUCCACUUUAGUCUCCUUUACGCAUGUCUAGAGAUGGGUACCCCUGAAUUACAGCUCAGACCCUAUGACAACUUGUUCAAGCAUCUGCAGUCUCCGUGGCCUACCCAAAGUUUCCACCAACCCUGGCUGGAGACAUACUGUGGACUGGUCCCCCGUUUUUACUUUACGGGCUGCCCCUGGGUGCAUCUAGAGACAAUCAGGACACGUGAGCACGUGAACUAACAUCCCUAAUUCAACUUUAUGUUUCGAAAAUAUUUGUAAUUAAGGAGGCUGGAGUGAAAUCAUUUUUUUAUACUUUAAGGAAAAUUUAAAAUUCAGGGAAAUGUAAGGAAUAGUUUAACAACAUUCAUUCUUUGAUACAGAAUUAACCAUUGUUAAUUUUUUAUCAUAGCUUAGAUUUUUUUAAGAAUUUACUGUGUCUUCUGCCUGAAACAACUUAAAAAACGCUCUUACUUAUCGACAGUUACAAAUACAGUAUGUUCUGUGUGGUUUUAAUUUAUGUGCAUGACACUGCGCCCAUCCUCUGUAAUUUACCUUGCUCUGUACUGUGUAUCUGAAGUCUGUUUAGUAUAGAUAAGACCGCUUUCUCCUGACUCUUGUCUUGGCCCAUCUCAUGAGUGCAUCCUGUGUUGUUGUCUAGUUCGACGCGGGGGGCAGUGAGAUUGUUUUGGUUUUCACGCGUAAAAUCACGGUGCGGUGAAUGUUUUCAUGUAUCCUGGAACAAAAACGUAAAAAUUUCUUUGAGGAAUCUAUCUGUAAGUGUCUGCGUAUUUUUAUUUUACUAACUACAACCAAUUGCUUUCAGCGGAGCUUCCCUGUUUCCUCCCAUUUUCAUGAAAACUUGAUAAAUACUAUUAUUGGGUGGAAAUUUUCUGGUUAGCUUCAAGAUUAAGCUAAGGUGACCGGCCUUUUCCUUCUUUGAACAUUGGCAGUUCAUGUCCUUUGCCCAUUUUUGUUGUUGUUGAAUUGUUCACAUUUUUCUUUCUUUUCCCUCCUCUUUUUUUAUUGAGUUUGAAAAUAUCUGCUUCCUAUUUACUAUAAACCUUUAGUGUCC
rnacentral:lncRNA from 9 species